rnacentral:rRNA from 1 species
UACGGGGGGGGUAAGCGUUGUUCGGAAUUACUGGGCGUAAAGGGCUCGUAGGCGGCCAACUAAGUCAUACGUGAAAUCCCUCAGCUUAACUGGGGAACUGCGUGUGAGACUGGCAGGCUCGAGGGCAGGAGAGGAACGCGGAAUUCCAGGUGUAGCGGUGAAAUGCGUAGAUAUCUGGAGGAACACCGGUGGCGAAGGCGGCGUUCUGGACUGUCUCUGACACUGAAGAACGAAAGCCAGGGGAGCAAACGGG